UCGUUUUUUUGUUUUUUUUUUGCCUGGAACCCGUGAAGCUGUUUGUUUUGUUUUACUGUUGGUGUGAAUGCGUGCUCUCCCUGUCCAUGCGGCAACCCACGGUGCAAGCCCGGACCUGCCGCAUCUCCCACCUGGGGGGUGUCACAUGGCAUGUGACAAACCUGGAACUGAUUCUGUUGAAAUGCCAAGAGUUUUUCAGGCGAUGCAACUUUGUGUCAGACAUGGCUGGAUGUAAUCAGACACCCCAACAUAACAGCUGAAGAAGUUCGCAAACAGGGACUAAGGGUAUGAAGUGACCACUUUGAAGGCACCGACUACCAAGGCGACCGUCAGAAGCCUGGAGCUGUAUCCACAGUUUUCCCAUCGUUGGUCGAACCGCUCGAGGUACGCCCACAUCAGAAGUCGCACAAUGAUAUGCAUCCUGGAGUUCAACGCUAAACUGCC